CCGGAAACGAGGGAGACUUUUAUUAAGUAUUUUGAGCAAGGAAUGACUGCUAAUCAGGCUGGAAGAUUCCAUGUCCUAAAAAUGGGGCUGUGUGAUGACUUAUUUGGACAGGCCAAUCAUGCUAUAAACCCAUCGCCUCGUGCUAUCAGUUAUAUGAGAGACGAAUGGCUGAAGAAUGAACAUGGUGGCCUGAAGAACUUAUCAAUGGCAGAGGCAAUCAGAAAGUAUGCCGCAAAUAACCCAGAUGUGACGAUACUGGAGGACAUAUCAGAAGGAAGUUUUACUGCAGUACUUGUUACAGCUUUUAUGAAGAGAGUCCACAUUAAAUUUAGGGAAGCUGGAGAAGUAAUCUUUGUGGAUGCCACGGGAUGUGUUGACCAACUCAACACUUCAGUUAUUCCCUUCCUCUGUGCUGGACCAGCAGGUGCUGCUCCACUGGCAGUGCUGUUUACAUCUUCCCAAGAUGAAGCAACACUGAAAAAAGGUUUUGAAAUGGUUAAGAGUGCUGUAGCAGAAAAGGCCUUCUAUGGGAAGGGCACGCCGGAGACUUUCAUGACUGACAACUGCGAUGCCAUGAGGAAAGCCCUAGCAGCAACCUGGCCUGGAGCUCGACAGUUC